AUCAUCAAAUAGUUAUCAUUUAUAAAAUAAUCCAUGCUAAAUAUAAAUAAUUCACAUAAGCUGGAAUGUCUGAAAUACUGAAAAUAAUAGUCAUGAAUAACAAAUCGUACUUUAUGAAUCUAGUGAGCCAUAACAUUUAGUUUAAAAAGUUGUACGCGUAUCUCCAUUUUUAAACCAUUUGGUCUAAGUGUAGAAGGACUCACUACUGAAUCUGAAAUCUGAAAGCUAAA
rnacentral:lncRNA from 1 species